ensembl:lncRNA
UAGAGAGGCAAAAUUGACAAAAGGGAGCCUAACGGUAGUGUCUAGUCCUAUUUCCUACUUUGUAAAGCCGAGCUCUUAUGAUCCCCUUUUUAAGACAAGGCAGACAAAAUGGAACAGUAACCCUGUCAAAAAUGAGUGCACCAAGAAACAGACAAUGCUAACAAUAUAAGCCAUUUGAGAGGGAACCAUAUAGGAUUUUGAAAAGAAAAUGAAAGUCGGUUUACUUUGCUGACACUCAAAAAGUGACCGGAAAGAGCUUCCUUCUUCACUUUCCCCCUCCUCUUAGUGGAUGUCCUGUGAGAGACCUGGAAGGGGACAAAGCGGUAUUCCCUGAGGAUGGGCUUUCCCAGCCUCCUCCAGAGCAGUCUGAGUUUGUGAAUCAAUGCUGGGGGUUGGGCCAGGCCAGUCUUUCCCUUUACCCACGCAGGCUGUGAUUAAGAAGGCAUCCAUCUGUCAACAGAGGCUUGCAGCUGUAUUUCCAGCCCAGCUUCCUCCCAUCUGACUCAUUUGGUGAUGCCACAAUCUAAUGUUUAUGACCUAACAGUUGAUCACCAUGGAAGUAGCACAAACCUGAGACUGUUGAGGAGCAAAACCAGAGUUGAGAUGCUGGACAGUUUAGGAAAAGGAAGAAAGAAGACCCUUAUUCAUGGAGACCACAUGUGAAGACGGAACACCCCAUUCCUCAUGUGGGCACUUCCACUGCUUGCUAAAACUGAUCUUUGGAUGCCCUCGUGCCUGUUGGAGAACCCAAAUAAGGAUUCAAGGUGACCGAGUACAAACACAAGCCGUGGCAUUUCGAAAUGAAGAGCAAGAAGUAGAAGGGAAAAUGCGUAUGUAGCAAUUUAAUGAGGUUUGGAUUACAAGUUCUGUUUCCUUGCCUUUUUGCCAGCAUGUGGCAAUGGUUUUAAAAGAGAAAGAAAACGGACUGAAUGCCAGGAAAAGACUAAGAUCCCCCAAAACUCAACCUUACAAACAGUCCUGGUGUAUUCACAAACCAGGAGUGUCAGGAAAAACUUUCUGGUUAUUCCAUGCUCCAUGAUGAAAACUAGCUAAAGUGAAAAAGAAAGUCAACGGAAUGAAAUAACCAGCUUUUAGUAAAGCUCAUCAUAUCAGAUGCAGCGAGUAGCAGGCGGUCCUGGCACAGUUGUCGAAACUAGAUGAGGACCGUGGCAUGGUCAAGGUGAAGCGAGUCUGACUUCCUGGCCUGCCCUCCCCACACUAAAAAUCAAGAAAAACCGCCCUUCUCCAGCACUGAGCGGCCCUGUAGGAACGGUGUCUCCCAGGAGUGCUUGUGGCUUACAAGUAAUGUGAGAGUCUUUUUAUAACUGUUGAGGUUUAAUUUAAAAGGAAGCUCAGAAUCAGCGGUAAAGGGAGGGGAACGUUGUGAACUACAGACCAUCUGAAAUGGGGAAAAUCAUAAAUACCAGAGUGUCUGAUUAUUUGAGCGUCUCUUGAAGCCGAAUAAUGAGCCUUCUUCAUGUUCUGCUUGCUGGACUUGGCUCCCUCUGACAAAUUUGCAGGCAUCAGGGUCUGUCUGGAAUUCAUUCCAAGUUGGAGGGAUAUUUUUUCCCUUGACAUUUUGCAGCUGAGACAGCCCUGAGCAGGAAGCUGAGGAGCGUAACAUUACCAAAUAUGUCCUUUCUCCUGCCCUUCUAUUUAAUUUCCACAGGAAAAGAAGGCAGAUGCUGGCCCAUGAGAGCUGGCCAAUGAGAAUGCGACAAGAGCAGGCGGACUCUACUGGCAGUGGGGAAAUUGACCAGAUGCCACUUUUCACCAAAAAAGAAACUAUUCUACGUAUCAACAGUUGAAAUUUGUGCUAUGUUGGAGGAACAAGUCUGACAGUUUCCCAUAAGUUGCCCAGCUAUGUCAGGGGCAUUACUGAGCACCAUGUUGGUCUCAUUUUCUCAAGUAGGCUUCAUUAAGAAGGCAGGCAGUACACUGGAGCCGAAACGGCACUGAAAUGGGAGUUAGGAGAGAGGGGCCUCUGUGGCUAACAUGUCUUUGACCAGAAAUUUCCACUUCCAGGGGCUGCAGAAUCUUUAUUUGUAAAAUGAAGGUUUGGGUAUGAUGAUCUCUCAGAUCCCUUCCAGAUUCCCAAGACUAAAGUCUGCACAAUCACUAAAAGAAAUUCCAAUAUUCGUCCAGCUGUGUGUGUACAUAUAUACAUAAAUAUAUGUACUGCUUUAUACAUAUAUUUUUACGUAUACUUUACAAAAUAUAUAAAAUACAAAUUAAAAAGGACAUAAAGUAUGUCAAUUCUAAUAUUUUCUCUCCAAACCUCAAUAGUUUAUUUUAGACACUCCCUGGGGCCAGUUCAUAUCUCUUUAGAGAGCUCUGCUCUAAGCCACAUUUCAGUUCUGCUUUUCUGUACGGCUGUGAGAUGUGAAAUUACCAUUUUUACAGGGGCAAGGAAAGAACAUAAGUCAGUAUGGCAUGCCCUUUGCUUGCAUAUGAAAUACGUAAGAAAACUUUUUUUUUAAUAUGCAAUCUUCUUGAUUAAUCUUGUUAUAGUACUUUUAAAAGAGAAUAGUCACAGAGAAAUUUCUUUACUGAAGAAAGUCGCACUGUAAGCUUGUUGUAAAUGGCAACUGAUGCUUAAGCUGGAGGCAGGGAAAUAGUUGAGAGCAGUAGAGACUGGGGUAGUCUGGAGAGUGUAUGCAUCGUCCAAACACGGGAGCUGCUUUUCGGCUCCAGCGGGCUUUCCUCAGGCAGGAAUGGAAGCCUCGUGCUGCCAAAUGGGAUUUUUCAAGAGAAUCUCAGAGGACCUAGAUUUUAAUGUGAAGUUAAUUUCUCCAAUUAAUGUUGCUCAAAAAUUUUAGAGCCGAGCAUAUGACGAUGGGCUGUGGGCAGGCCCUCGGUGAUCCCUGAUCUCAUAUUCAGUUGAUUUAGCUCUGGAAAUUUUUGUGAUAAUAUUGGCACUUUGCAGUCGGACAUCCAAGCUCUGAGCAGGGUGAUUAUGUAUGUGUCAGACAGAAAAAUGUGAAACGUCAUUUCAUUAAGAUCAUGUUUUUCUCUCACCAGCUUUUUGAAAGGGGCCACUUCUUGAAUCCUCUUAAGGCUGCCCCAUCAGACCAGUGAUCUAUGUUGCUUAGUCAUAAAAAUAAGGAAAAUAUUACAUUGCUCUUGAUUUAUCUGGUACUUUUGCAUAUGGAAAUCUCAUAGAAAAAUGUAUUAUUUUAAACAAAUCUUGCGUUUUACUAGAUCAGUGAUUAGCAAACUUUUUCACAGAUAUUUUUUAGUAAAUAUUUAGGCUUUGUGGGCCAUAUGAUCUCUGUCGCAACUGCUCAAUUCUAUACAGCUAUGCAAAAGCAGCCGUAAACCAUACAGACGAAUGAGCCUGGCUGAGUUCCAAUAAAACUUUAUUCAAACCAGCAGGCUGUGGGUCAGAUUUGGCCUAGGAGCUAUAGUCUGUCAGCUCCUGGAUUAAAUCAUAAGCUCUUCUAAGGUGUAACCUGUGUCUGAUUCAACUCUGCAUCUUCAGUCCACACAAAUCCCGGCACAGAGGAGGCACUCCAUGAACAUUUGCUAAAAUAAAUUGAAGGUUGUGGAAUUUAGCACUUUGUCAAUAAUAAUUCACUCCCCGUAGGAGUGAUAGAAAACCCAUGGUAGGGUUUACGGGUUGUGUCCACCCUGAGGCUACAGCAGCAUAUGAAUCCCCUCAGGGAGUUUGUGGCACAUCCACAUGUUCUCAGCAAGGGAAGGAGGCACCCAACCAGGCUGAGGAAGCAACCUAAGAGACUGCUUAGACCCCACACUUAGCCUGAUGGGCCAAAGAACAAGAGCCACAGGAAGACCCUCGUAAUUUCACAGACAGGCUUCUUCCAAAUCUUUCCUCAACUCUUCUUUCAACAACUUAAGUGACAAAUACCAAGCACCUAGUGUGUCCUCACGCUGUCGUGCAGUGGUUCUCAAAAUUCGGGUUAUGACCCAGUGCACAUGCACUAAAACGCUUCCCAAAACUAUUGCUACUCUUCUUUCCCAUCUCUGAAUUUAUUUUAUUGUUUCAGCUGAGGUGUAAUUGACAUAUAACAUUCUAUUAGUUUCAGACGUGCGACAUAAUGAUUCAAUAUUUGUAUGUAUGGUAAAACGAUCACCACAGUGAGUCCAGUUAACACCCAUCCCAUCCAUAGUUACAAAAUUUUGUUUCUUUUAAGUCGAUCAGAACUUUUAAGGUUUACUCCCUUAGCAACCUUCAAAUACGCAAUGCAGUGCUGUUAACUAUAGUCAGUAUGCUGUUCAUUAUAUUCCUCGUGACUUAUUUUAAAACUGGAAGUUUGUACCUUUUGAGCCCCUUCACCUAUUUCACCCAACCCCCACCCCUUGCCUCUGGCAACUACCAGUCUAUUCUCUGCAUCUGUGAGUUGAGGGGUUUUCUGAUUUUUAGAUUCCCCACCUAAGUGAGAUCCCAUGGUUAUUUGUUAUCUCUAUCUGACUUAUUUCACUUAACAUAAUGUCCACAAGGUCCAAACAUAUUGUCACAAAUUGGCGAAAUUUCCUUCUUUUUUACUGCUGAAUAGUAGUCUAUUACAUAUAUUUCUUUACCCAUUCAUUUUCUUUAUCGAUUCCGCUAUCCAUGGACAGUUAGGUUGUUUCCAUAUCUUGGCUAAUUCUUACCCUUAGUAAGUAUCACAAUCCUCUGGGAUAUGUUGUCAUUGCUUAUAUUUGAUUUAUUUUUAGUGCUGGUCGCAACUCUCUAAGUUGAUUUUAUCAUUCACUGGGUAUGGCAUUUGGUUUGAAAGUCAAAGGAAAAGAUUCAGUUCUUGUCCUAAAGGGAUUUAUAAUCUCAUUGGAGAGCUAAGACACGUGCAUACCAACAUCUAUGGAAUAGUCUGACAGGAGACAAGUUACAGCAUUUGCAGCACUGGGGGUUCUUCAUUGGUAUAACUGGAGUUUUAAAAACCAUGGAUGAGUGGUGGUAUUGGUCUGAGCUGGAGCCUUGACACCUGGAAAAUCCGCCUGAAAGGAGGAGUGGGGGAGAAAGGAGUGAAUUGGGAUGACCCCACUUUAGGAAGAGAAGUAAAUCUUCCAGAUAAAGAGGCAGCACAGGGCAGCUUCUUUUCUCCCAGUUCCAUUCCCAGGGUGAAGGAGAACUUGAAUUGAAAUUUGGCAGAGCUUUGUUGACUAGAACAGUGUGUGAGAGAAUUAAAGAGGAAUGAGAGGUCCACAUGACUUAUUCCAAAAGCCAAGUAGAGUUACUAGAGGGGACGGUCUGAGAAGAGGAUGAUUUUGCUAAGUGAGUGUAACUCUUGGGAGGAAAGAGAAGACGAAAUGUGAAGAUUGGUGAGGUCAAUCUAGACGUGCAGUUAUAAAAAAAAUUUGAAGGAUUUUAUUUUUGGUUAAUAAGAUUUUUAAGUUAGGAAAUAUAGAAGCACAGCUUCCUUUGGCUGAGAGGCCCUAGUUUAUCAUAUCUGGCAUGAUUUUGGGUAAAUAAUGGGGAAAAGAACCAAGCUAGAGACUUUGAGUGUUGAAAUGGUCAGAUUAAUUAGGUUUGAUAGCCACAUGCAAGUUAUCAGUAAAAACAUUCUGACUGUAGGAGUGAAGAGGCAAGGAAUGGAAAGGAUGGAACUGGCAGAAGGGCCCAAUAAUCAAAAACGUAGAAGCAACCACAUAGGUUUUCAUUAACAUAAAGAAGUUACGAAGCAAAUGACUCUUGUAGAAAAGCUCUGGAAGUGAGAACCAAGCCAGGUUGGAGAAAAAAAUCAAUAGAAAUGCCUAUAAAACCUCUUGGGACACAUAAAUGAAUGCUCAAGAAAGACAUGUAUAUUUGAGAAUCAGAAAACAAAGGACUAUAUACAAUGGCUUAAGAGAAAAGGAGACAAGACAUACAGAAAAUAGAGGCUUAGUAUUGAAACCUGGAGGAGAAGGAAAUAAUGAAAAUAGAUAUGGAUUUUCAUUAUUAUGUAUAAUUCAAAUCUUAUGGAGAAAAAAAUCAUAACAGCAACAAAAGUCUUAUUUGAAGAUCAUUUUCAUGUUGACAAUUUUUUUUUUCUCGAGGAUGAUUAGCCCUGAGCUAACAUUUGUUGCCAAUCCUCCUCUUUUUGCUGAGGAAGAUUAGUGCUGAGCUAACAUCCGUACCCAUCUUCCUCUACUUCAUAUGUGGGAUGCCUUUCACAGCAUCGCUUGACAAGCGGUGCGUAGGUCUGCAUGUGGGAUACAAACCUGUGGACCCUGGGCCACUGAAAUGGAGUGUGCUAACUUAACCCUGCGCCACCAGGCUGGCCCCUCAUGUUGACAAUUUUACAAUGAGAUUUUCAGUCCAAAGGGCUUUAUGAAAUAAAUAUACAAAAAAGUAGUAAAAUAAUAAUGAAGCAGAGUUGAUGACGUUCUCUAUUACACAGACGAUGGUGUCUUGGAAAUCAAUAAUCUGAUUUAUAGACACUUAAGGGAGAGUGUCUAUAAUUACCUCCUAAUCAUGUAAACUGCCAAAUGUUUCUUAAAAUACAAUUAAUUUUAAACCACUUUUAAAAAAUCUUGUGUGUUAUGAGUAAAUCUAACGCUACUAAGUUCACUGGAAAGCAAGCUUUAUUACUUUAUUUUUUUAUUUAAUCAAUUUUUUAUUGAGGUAACAUUGGUUUAUAACAUUAUAUAAAUUUCAAGUGUACAUCGCAUUUCAACUUCUGUGUAUACUAUAUCUGUUCACCACCCAAAGUCUGAUUGCCAUCCAUCACUGCACUCAUGUCCCCUUUUACUUCUUUUGCCCUCCCCCACCCCUUCCCUUCUGGUAACCACCUAUCUGAUCUCUGUCUCUAUGUGUUUGUUCAUUGAUAGUGUUGUUUUUAACCUUCCACAUAUGAGUGAAAUCGUAUGGCAUUUGUCUUUCUCUGUCUUAUUUCUCUUAGCAUAAUGCCCUCAAGUUCUACCCAUGUUGUUGCAAAUGGAAAGAUUUUGUCUUUUUAUGGCUGAGUAGAACUCCACUGUACAUAUAUAUAUAUAUAUACAUACACACACAUAUAUACCACAUCUUUGUUAUCCAUUCAUCUGUUGGUCGGCACUUAGGUUGUUUCCAAGUCUUGGCUAUUGUGAACAAUCCUGAAAUGAACAUAGGGGUGCAUAUAUCUUUUGAAAUUAGGGUUUUCAUGUUCUUCAGAUAAAUACCCAGAGGUAGAAUAGCUGGGUCAUAUGGUAUUUCUAUUCUUAAUUUUUUGAGGAAGCUCCAUACUGUUUUCCACAGUGGCUGUACCAGUUUGCAUUCCCACCAGCAGUGUAUGAGGGCUCCCUUUUCUCCACAUCCUCCCCAACAUUUGUUAUUUCUUAUUUUUUAAUAAUAGGCAUUCUGAUGGGAGUGAGGUGAUAGCUCAUUGUAGGAAAGAUUCACCCUGAACUAACAUCUGUUGCCAAUCUUCCUCUCUCUUUUUUUUUUCCUUCCCAAAGCCCCAGUACAUAGUUGUAUAUUCUAGUUGUAAGUCCUUCUAGUUCUAUGUGAGCCACCACCAUAGCAUGGCUGCUGACAGACAAGUGGUAUGGUUCUGCACCCUGGAACCAAACCCAGGCCACCGAAGCAGAGCAUGCUGAACUUUAACCACUAGGCCAUCAGGGCUGGCUCUGGACAUCUUUUCAUGUGCUUUGACACUGUGUUUCACACAAACUUUUAGGAAAAACCAGGCCUAUGUUUAAAGCCAAAUGUUAUAUUCUCUCUUAAAGUUUAAAUAUCAUUAUCCACACGGUUUAUCCUAAGUCUCUGAAGCAUGUUAGGAAUGAAGACAGAAUCUCUAGCAGUGAUAUUCUUAGUUAUGGUUUAAAGGGCAAGGCUUAUUGAAUUUGGAUCAAGACACUACUCAGAUUUCUUAAAUUUUCUUCAGAAGAAAAGGCAUAAGUCUUUAUCCCGACUAGUUAAAAAAUAAUGGAGAACAAAAUCAAGCAGCAGGACAGGUCCAAAGAGUUCUGGACUUGUAGGAAGAGAAGGGAAGAGUGGAGGCAUGCAUCCUGGAACCUGGAAUCUCAGACUUCACUUCCCAUGGUAGAAGCAAAGAGGAGGCGCUCAGCUCUGAAAAGAAAAACGGGGGAACGUCACAAUGAAGAGGAAGCCCCUUUUUCUGUCCCUGGAUACAGUUGCAUCACAUAAUGACAGG